CAGCAGCCGCGGUAAUACGAAGGGUGCAAGCGUUAAUCGGAAUUACUGGGCGUAAAGCGUGCGUAGGCGGUGAGUUAAGUCUGCUGUGAAAUCCCCGGGCUCAACCUGGGAAUGGCAGUGGAUACUGGCUCGCUAGAGUGUGUCAGAGGAUGGUGGAAUUCCCGGUGUAGCGGUGAAAUGCGUAGAGAUCGGGAGGAACAUCAGUGGCGAAGGCGGCCAUCUGGGACAACACUGACACUGAGGCACGAAAGCGUGGGGAGCAAACAGGAUUAGAUACCCCGGUAGUCCCUGUCUCUUAUCA
rnacentral:rRNA from 1 species